AGAAAACAAUUAGGAUCAUCACUCCUGGCUCUUUAACGUAUUUAGGUCUAUGUUGAGAUAAGGUGUGGAGAUCUCUGUCAGAGCUUGCAGCUGUGCAGCCAUGCUGGGAAAUCUGUCAGGUUGCACCACAGCUCCCUCAUGGCCUUAGGGUCAGGCUUCUCUUGGGCUGAAACAAGGAGGGGUUGCCAAAGAUCAUGAUAUGACAGUAAGAUGGGAGGUAUGUAGGGUGUGUGAAGAUCACAAUGCUUCCAUGAUCACUUCUUUUCUGCCUUGUUGGAGUUGCCAGUCCUCAGGAGAACUCUCCAGGUGGGUCACCUCACCUGGCCUUCUUGGUGAUGCAUUUGACUAAAUGUUUUCAAGGUUCCAAACUCAACCAAAU
rnacentral:lncRNA from 12 species